rnacentral:rRNA from 1 species
UACGAAGGGGGCUAGCGUUGCUCGGAAUCACUGGGCGUAAAGCGCACGUAGGCGGCUUGUUAAGUCAGGGGUGAAAUCCUGGAGCUCAACUCCAGAACUGCCUUUGAUACUGGCGAUCUCGAGUUCGGGAGAGGUGAGUGGAACUGCGAGUGUAGAGGUGAAAUUCGUAGAUAUUCGCAAGAACACCAGUGGCGAAGGCGGCUCACUGGCCCGAUACUGACGCUGAGGCACGAAAGCGUGGGGAGCAACAGGG